rnacentral:rRNA from 1 species
ACCAGACUCCUACGGGAGGCAGCAGUGGGGGAUAUUGCACAAUGGGGGAAACCCUGAUGCAGCGACGCCGCGUGUGGGAAGACGGUCUUCUGGAUUGUAAACCACUGUCCCCAGGGACGAAAAUGACGGUACCUGGGGAGGAAGCUCCGGCUAACUACGUGCCAGCAGCCGCGGUAAUACGUAGGGAGCAAGCGUUGUCCGGAAUUACUGGGUGUAAAGGGAGCGUAGGCGGCGCGUUAAGUCUGAUGUGAAAACCCGAGGCUCAACCACGGGAGUGCAUUGGAAACUGGCGGGCUGGAGUGCCGGAGAGGUAAGCGGAAUUCCUAGUGUAGCGGUGAAAUGCGUAGAUAUUAGGAGGAACACCAGUGGCGAAGGCGGCUUACUGGACGGCAACUGACGCUGAGGCUCGAAAGCGUGGGGAGCAAACAGGAUUAGAUACCCUUGUAA